UACGGAGGGUGCAAGCGUUAAUCGGAAUUACUGGGCGUAAAGCGCACGUAGGUGGUUUGCUAAGUCAGCUGUGAAAUCCCCGGGCUCAACCUGGGCACUGCAGUUGAAACUGGCAAGCUAGAGUAGGGUAGAGGGGUGUGGAAUUCCAGGUGUAGCGGUGAAAUGACGUAGAUAUCUGGAGGAACAUCAGUGGCGAAGGCGAGUCCCUGGACGAUACCUGACACUGAGGCACGAAAGCCAAGGGAG
rnacentral:rRNA from 1 species